GUAACAAGGUUUCCGUAGGUGAACCUGCGGAAGGAUCAUUACCUAGAGUUUGUGGACUUCGGUCUGCUACCUCUUACCCAUGUCUUUUGAGUACCUUCGUUUCCUCGGCGGGUCCGCCCGCCGGUUGGACAACAUUCAAACCCUUUGCAGUUGCAAUCAGCGUCUGAAAAAACUUAAUAGUUACAACUUUCAACAACGGAUCUCUUGGUUCUGGCAUCGAUGAAGAACGCAGCGAAAUGCGAUAAGUAGUGUGAAUUGCAGAAUUCAGUGAAUCAUCGAAUCUUUGAACGCACAUUGCGCCCCUUGGUAUUCCAUGGGGCAUGCCUGUUCGAGCGUCAUUUGUACCUUCAAGCUCUGCUUGGUGUUGGGUGUUUUGUCUCGCCUCCGCGCGCAGACUCGCCUUAAAACAAUUGGCAGCCGGCGUAUUGAUUUCGGAGCGCAGUACAUCUCGCGCUUUGCACUCAUAACGACGACGUCCAAAAGUACAUUUUUACACUCUUGACCUCGGAUCAGGUAGGGAUACCCGCUGAACUUAAGCAUAUCA
rnacentral:misc_RNA from 1 species